rnacentral:rRNA from 1 species
GACGGGGGGGGCAAGUGUUCUUCGGAAUUACUGGGCGUAAAGGGCGCGUAGGCGGUUUGCUAAGUCGGAUGUGAAAACUCUGGGCUCAACCCAGAGCCUGCAUCCGAAACUGGCAGGCUAGAGUUCUGGAGGGGGUAGCGGAAUUCCUGGUGUAGCGGUGAAAUGCGUAGAUAUCAGGAGGAACACCGGUGGCGAAGGCGGCUACCUGGACAGAAACUGACGCUGAGGCGCGAAAGCUAGGGGAGCAAACAGG